GACGAACGCUGGCGGCGUGGAUUAGGCAUGCAAGUCGAACGGUAUCAUCCUUUCGGGGGUGAGAGAGUGGCGAACUGGUGAGUAACACGUAGGUUAUCUACCCUCAAGACGGGGAAACCCAGGGAAACUUGGGCUAAUACCGGAUGUGAGCAACUUUUAGUUGUUUGAAAGGUGGCGUAAGCUGUCGCUUGGGGAUGAGCCUGCGUCCUAUUAGUUAGUUGGUGAGGUAACGGCUCACCUAGGCAAUGAUAGGUAGGCGGCCUUAACGGGUGGUCGCCCACACUGGGAUUGAGAUACGGCCCAGACUCCUACGGGAGGCAGCAGUCGAGAAUAGUCUACAAUGGUCGGAAGACUGAUAGUGCGACGCCGCGUGAACGAUGAAUCCCUUCGGGGUGUAAAGUUCUUUUAUAUGUGAGCAGUGCUUCUUAUAUUAACAGUAUGGGGAGAGAGAUAUUAGCAUAUGAAUAAGCAACGGCUAACUCCGUG
rnacentral:rRNA from 1 species